rnacentral:lncRNA from 1 species
AAGUGGGAAAGCUUUGCCUUGGAAAACAGGGAAGGAAGGCUUCAGACGUUCUCUGGUUGGUGGCUGUUGGCGUGGGGAAGCUGGGGGCGGGCUAACCGGAAGCAGGGCGCUGAAUGUGACUGGUUCGGGGAGAAUAUUUGGCUUUCUCUGUUUGGUCCUGAGUUGGAAGCGGGGGCUAAAAAUAGGGACGCUGGUAGUCACUGAUCAAGUCCCCAUGGUUCUGGGAAGACUACUGCAAGGUCGUGGGUCAGAGUUCCAUGGUCAUAUAUGGUCUGGCCUUGUCUGUUUGUAUAUUCAGAUUCUCACUGAGAACUUACAGGGCAUUUAUUCAGCAGACAUUUAUGGGGAGCCUUCCGCAUGUUCUAGGCACUAAGGACACAGCUGUGAGCAGGACACACCAGACCUCCUGCUGUCCCUGGGGCUGCCCACACAGUGCCCGGCUGAGUGGUUUACCUGGGGACCCACCCUCUUUGCGUCUGUGCACUACUUGCUCCUUCAUAGCUGUGGCUGCUACCGCAGAUCUUUCAUGAGGAACCACUUCUUAAAUGACUUGCUAAGAGUUGCCAUUUUCCUACAUCAGUAGAAAAUCUCCAGAGGACUUCAAGCAAGGGAAAAAUGAGAUCAGACUUGAAAAGGAGGAGAGUGGACCUUUCCAGCCUUUCAGCCCUUUCUCUGGGAAAACCCCACCAAGACUUGCAAUAGCUAUAAUUCUCCAGGGGACCUGCCUCUGCUCUGGACGUUCCUGGAGGCUGCAGUGCGACCUCAGGAAGCUCAGACGCACCCUCAACAAGUGGCUGGGUAAUCUGUUCUUCCCUGGAGUUGAGGCCUCCGGUGAACAUCAUCAGCAGACCCCAUCCUCAGAGAGGAUUGUUUGGACAACUGCAUACUCAAAGAGAAUGCUUCUGUGCGUAUGUGUGUUUGUGUGUGUGUGUGUGUGUGUGUAUUUCCUCUUGAAAAUUUUUCUCAUGUGUUUUUUCUGCAAUUCAAAUAUACAGCAAACUAAUGGUUAAAAUAUCAAAUAACUUCAAAAUGCCAAUAAAGAAAAAAACUCUUUAAUAAGGC